rnacentral:rRNA from 1 species
UGGGGAAUUUUGGACAAUGGGGGAAACCCUGAUCCAGCCAUCCCGCGUGUGCGAUGAAGGCCUUCGGGUUGUAAAGCACUUUUGGCAGGAAAGAAACGUCAUGGGUUAAUACCCCGUGAAACUGACGGUACCUGCAGAAUAAGCACCGGCUAACUACGUGCCAGCAGCCGCGGUAAUACGUAGGGUGCAAGCGUUAAUCGGAAUUACUGGGCGUAAAGCGUGCGCAGGCGGUUCGGAAAGAAAGAUGUGAAAUCCCAGAGCUCAACUUUGGAACUGCAUUUUUAACUACCGGGCUAGAGUGUGUCAGAGGGAGGUGGAAUUCCGCGUGUAGCAGUGAAAUGAGUAGAUAUGCGGAGGAACACCGAUGGCGAAGGCAGCCUCCUGGGAUAACACUGACGCUCAUGCACGAAAGCGUGGGGAGCAAACAGG